CCUACGGGAGGCUGCAGUCGCGAAUUUUUCACAAUGGGCGCAAGCCUGAUGAAGCCACGCCGCGUGCGGGAUGAAGGCCUCUGGGUUGUAAACCGCUGUCAGAGGGGCGUCUGCUCUCUGAAGAAGCCCCGGCAAAACAUGUGCCAGCAGCCGCGGUAAUACAUGUGGGGCAAGCGUUGUUCGGAAUUACUGGGCAUAAAGGGUGCGUAGGUGGUUUGUUAAGUCAGGGGUGAAAUCCCGCGGCCCAACCGUGGAACUGCCUUUGAUACUGGCGAACUUGAGUGCGUGAGGGGUAGGGGGAACGAGCAGUGUAGCGGUGAAAUGCGUAGAUAUUGCUCGGAAGGCCAGAGCCGAAGGGGCCCUACUGGUGCGCACUGACACUGAGGCACGAAAGCGUGGGGAGCAAACAGGAUUAGAUACCCUUGUAGUC
rnacentral:rRNA from 1 species